UGCAAGUCGAGGGGCAGCACAGGUAGCAAUACCGGGUGGCGACCGGCGCACGGGUGCGUAACGCGUAUGCAACCUACCCAUAACAGGGGGAUAACACUGAGAAAUUGGUACUAAUACCCCAUAAUAUCAUAGAAGGCAUCUUUUAUGGUUGAAAAUUCCGAUGGUUAGAGAUGGGCAUGCGUUGUAUUAGCUAGUUGGUGGGGUAACGGCUCACCAAGGCAACGAUACAGUAGGGGACUGAGAGGUUAACCCCCACAUUGGUACUGAGACACGGACCAAACUCC
rnacentral:rRNA from 1 species